AUAAAUGAAAAAAAUUGAAUUAACUUCGAAAGUCCUUUUUAAAAUUGUUAAAGUUCUAGUCUUCUUCAUCAUUUUCGUCUACAUUGGUUAUCCACUUUCGUAUCUUCUCCCGGGCCUUGAUGCUCGCAUUUCGUUUCGGUCUAGUACUUCUUUGCGUUGUGUCUUCAUGUUGCUCGUCAGUGUGAUCGCUUGUAGCAUCCGAAUGUGUCCCCGAUACCUCCAACGGAAAUAGUUUAACGAUUGGUCGGGAUGUCUCACCAUUGCUUGUCUGUAUCCGUGCUGCUCGUACAUGUCCAUCAUUGCCUCUGAUAAGUUCAUU
rnacentral:lncRNA from 1 species